ACAUCUGCCAGCCAGUGACUGAGGCUGGACCUCUAAAGGGAAGCUGGAGUUCUGGGACAGGUCUGGCCCCUUGGAGCAUGAUGAAAGCUACACAAGCAUUAAUUUGAUCAGAUAUUCAAGCUCCAGAAACUCUGGGGUUUAUUCUGAUUAUAAUUCUUGGACACUUAAGUAACUGAGCAGAUGGAAAACUGAAGCAGUUCAUUUUCCCAUGUGAAGAAUAUUGCUGCUCACAGCAAUUUGUCAGGCUGCUUCAUUCAGACACAGAGAGAGGUGCACAGGGCUCAGGUGGUAGUUCUGCUCUUCCUAUAUUAAACUUCCUGGUACAUCAGAGACUCUCUAUCCAAGCUAGAACAUAAAUUCAGGCCAUUCCUCCAAGGAGUUAAGUCAACAUCCAUAAGCCACCUAAAAAGGAUUGGGUCAGUGCAGAAAUUACAGGACAAACACUGGCAGGAGACAGUGUCCCCUGCCAGCUGAGACAGAAACAAGAUGGACAUGCCCCGUCAGAUGCUUUUCAUGGGAAGGGCACUUUUACCCAGAUCCCUCUGGGAGAAGCUCCAGAUGGGAGGCUCAAAGCACUGGUGGCGCGAAGAUCAGCACAGAGGAUAAGGAAGAAAUUAAGGAUCCAAAAUAAAGUGCAAUGUUCUAUUGACUGGAGACUGCAGUAAGUGAGAGACUGAGACUUAACUCCUGCUUUAGCCUCAGUGGGUCCAGACUCAGAGUUCUCCCUUUUCAGGAGACCAUGAAUCAGGCUGAGAUGAACACACCCUGUAUUUCACA